rfam:Aggregatibacter actinomycetemcomitans D11S-1, complete genome.
GCGUAACAUUGCGCGCGAUUUAGUAACAAGAGGACACACACUUUGGACAGUCACAGUCGAUACCGAACGGAGUUUUCACUGUAACUAUCGCCCGUCUCACUUAUCGGCGAUAGUUUCG